rnacentral:rRNA from 1 species
UGGCCAGGGGACGUGGAUAACCUCGGGAAACUGAGGAUUAACCCCGAUAAGUCAUUACUUCUGGAAUGGGUAAUGACUGAAAUCUACAUGGCCCCUGGAUUGGACUGCGGCCGAUCAGGCUGUUGGUGAGGUAAUGGCCCACCAAACCUGUAACCGGUACGGGCUCUGAGAGGAGGAGCCCGGAGAUGGGCACUGAGACAAGGGCCCAGGCCCUAUGGGGCGCAGCAGGCGCGAAACCUCUGCAAUAGGCGAAAGCCUGACAGGGUUACUCUGACUGAUUUCCGUUAAGGAGAUCUUUUGGCACCUCUAAAAAUGGUGCAGAAUAAGGGGUGGGCAAGUCUGGUGUCAGCCGCCGCGGUAAUACCAGCACCCCGAGUGGUCGGGACGUUUAUUGGGCCUAAAGCAUCCGUAGCCGGGUUCUACAAGUCUUUCCGUUUAAAUCCACCUUGCUUUAACANGAUGGGCCUGCCGGAAAGAUACCUAUANGAGCUAGGGAGGCNGGGANAAGGCCAAGCGGGUUACUCCCAUUGGNUAAGGGGUUAAAAUCCCGUUU